UGAGGAAUAUUGGUCAAUGGGCGAUGGCCUGAACCAGCCAAGUAGCGUGAAGGAUGACUGCCCUAUGGGUUGUAAACUUCUUUUAUAAAGGAAUAAAGUCGGGUAUGCAUACCCGUUUGCAUGUACUUUAUGAAUAAGGAUCGGCUAACUCCGUGCCAGCAGCCGCGGUAAUACGGAGGAUCCGAGCGUUAUCCGGAUUUAUUGGGUUUAAAGGGAGCGUAGAUGGAUGUUUAAGUCAGUUGUGAAAGUUUGCGGCUCAACCGUAAAAUUGCAGUUGAUACUGGAUGUCUUGAGUGCAGUUGAGGCAGGCGGAAUUCGUGGUGUAGCGGUGAAGUGCUUAGAUAUCACGAAGAACUCCGAUUGCGAAGGCAGCCUGCUAAGCUGCAACUGACAUUGAGGCUCGAAAGUGUGGGUAUCAAACAGG
rnacentral:rRNA from 1 species